AUGCCUUUCCAACUCUGCGUUAAUACACCCACUGGAGAAGAAAAGAUUGUCGAUGUGUGCGACAAUAAAGAUCAGCUGAAGAACAUCACUGGAGAGCAAUUUAAAGAGAAUCUUCGUAAAGAACUGGGGAUAAAUGAAGACUUUCGUAUUAUUGUCAACGCCAAGCAGGUGGAGGAAGAGGCCACUCUGGACUCCACUGGGAUCAACCAUUUGUCCACAGUUUAUACAGUACCGAAACUGUCCGGAGGCACAUCUGAUGAAGAAUAAACCCCACAGGGUCUCAAGAAAGCCAUGAACCAUGUAUGAACAAAUCAAUUUUUCAUUUUUAAAGUCAUUAAGUUUCAUAUUUCUUUGCAUUGUGACUACAAGCUACUGUGUUGUCAAGCCAAUAUCAAAUCUUCUGUUAAGAAAAUUGAUACGGUGCCACAAAUCUGUAUUCCGUUUCUUUUAUGUAAAUGUGUCAUCUUCAUAUAAACUGACUGAAAACAAUGUGGUGUGUGAUAAUAACAUGUUAAUAAAUUCUACUUGUCUCACUUGGCGUCUUCAUAUUGUUCCUCACAGCUAAUAAUGAAACUUUAAUGAUAACAAAAAAUAUGACAAUGGGUGAAAAGUAGUGAGGUAUGAGCAUAUGCAAAAGGAAGCUAAAGCAAUGCAAUUUAAAAGUAAGGAUUAAAGAACAACAACAAGAGACUAUCAGGGAGGCACAGGCUUCAGUCACACAGAGACACUGAGUCACUUAACAGCUGAUGAAUGUGAAAUCAAUAGAAAGAGUGGGCAGUAUAAGGACAUUGAUUAAACUUAUUUAUCUUUUCAAAACAGGCAACACAGAUUCAGACAUAGAGAGAGAAUAAAUCUACAUAAAACUAAUAUUAUUACAUUUAAUAAACAGUAUAUAUAGUCCUCAACGUCACUUCUUUAAGUGCAUUGGCAGAUAAAGCUCAAGCAAAGUCAGAUUCAUUCACACCCACACAGAGUAUACUGAGAGCAACAGAUACAUAGAAUGAAACAAAUGAGGGAAUUAUAUUGGUCUAAUUUUGCUUUUGUGUUUUGACACCAAUAAAUGGGAAAUAAUAAUGUGGAAUUGUGGGAAAUAAAUCACAAUUUAUUUAAACCCCCCAACAGAGUCAUUAUAGUUUUGUAUUUUUCAUUACUUUUUAUUUUGUUUCAGUUUAGUUUCAGUGAGUUUUAGUUGAGUUUUUAUUGUUUUCAGUGUUCGUUAUAAUAUAGGGGGUAAAUGUCAGUGGCAAGAUUUAAAGAGUUCAGAAUAUUACUUGAAGAAAAGAAAGGGAAAAAAUGGACUCAGGUGAGUUAUAUAACAACUUACAGAUACCAUAAACAGAGUAUUUAGCUAUUAGAUACCAAAACUGUUGUUGAAACUUAAAAUGCCCAACAACCCUCAUUUGAGAUUAAACUUUAUAAAACAUUGCAGUUGCUGCUGGCAAGAUACACAAAUAAUGACAUUUAGCUUUUC
rnacentral:lncRNA from 1 species